rnacentral:pre_miRNA from 1 species
AGUACCUCUUCAUGUGACUCGUGGGCUUCCCUUUGUCAUCCUAUGCCUGAGAAUAUAUAAAGGGGGCUGGGAAGGCAAAGGGACGUUCAGCUGUCAUCACCAGC